rnacentral:rRNA from 1 species
AUGCUAGCCAGUAAAGGUUGCAACCAAAAGGAAUGGUGGGAAUAUGUACAAAAUUCUUUGGGUCCACGAAGCAAUUACAUGCUUGAAGUUGAAGGGAUGAUGCAAAUCUUAAACCUCGGCUACAUAGAUCUUCCUCCUUAUCUGAAGACAUGCUUUUUGUAUCUUGGUAUGUAUCCGGAGGACUACCAAAUAGAGAGGUCUAAUCUGGAACGCCAAUGGAUGGCUGAAGGCUUUAUCGGUACAGAAAAUGGACAAGAUGCGGAGAAGGUUGCAAGAAAUUAUUUCAAUGAGCUUGUGAAUAGAAGUCUUAUUCAACCUAUAGAAUUCGACAAGCAAGGGUCGGUGACAAAAUGCAAGGUGCAUGAUAUGUUGCUUGAUCUUAUCUUGAUGAAAGCAGCACAAGAGAAUUUUCUCACUAUAGUGGAUGGCUCACAUGCCUUUACAGAACUGAAAAACAACGUCCGUCGGCUGUCUAUCCGCUUGGAUGGUGCAAGUAAUGGCCGAGAAAUACUAUCAAGAAACAGUGGUAUGUCACAGGUUCGGUCAGUUAUGUUCUUUGGGAGCUCUCAGAAUACACCUCCUUUGUCAGAGUUCAAGUUCCUCCGAGUUGUUCAUAUUGACCUGGACUAUGCUACAGUUGACCUCACUGGAUUGUGUAGACUUUAUCAGCUGAGCAUUCGUAAGGAUGACUGGGAGAGACGUAUGGAUGCUCUAUGCUCUUCUCUGGGAAACCUGUGUCACCUAGAGAACCUGUUUGUCGAUCUCAUCGGCUGCAUAGAUGGCUUCAUGCCAUUGUUUCCUCCCCCAGCUCAUUACCGCCUUGAGAGACUUAUCAUGCAAUGGAGGUGCUGGUUUUCCAGGGUCCCUAGCUGGAUGGGGGAGCUCCAUAACCUCUGCCAGUUGAAGUUCAAAGUUGCUGAGCUGCUAACUGAUGGUGUUGGUAUCCUUGCUGAGCUGCCCGCCCUCACUCACCUCGACGUAGAGACCGGAAAAGCCACAGACAAAGUGAUUUCUAACGAGAGAGGAGCAUUCCCUGCUCUAAAGAGUUUUAAGCUUCUAUUAAGUAGCGCUUCGUACUUGACCUUCCAGGCCGGAGCAAUGCCCAGGCUCCAAAGGUUGAAGCUAAAAUUCAAUGUCCAUGGAUCGGAGCAGACUGGGGCUGCACCUGCCGGCCUCGAGCAAUUGUUAGCGCUUGAAGAGCUGACUGCAAAAAUCUGCUGCCACCGUGCUUCAGAGUCCGACAAGAGAAGUGCGGAGUCUGACUUGAGGAGUGCCAUCGACAUGUUUCCAAGCCAUCUUCUAGUCAAAGUCAGCUAUGAAGAGGUUUGGAAUUUUGGUUUUUCUGAUGACUAG